GACAUCCAGAGAAUUUAGCAGAGAUGCUUUAGUGCCUUCGGGAACUCUGAGACAGGUGCUGCAUGGCUGUCGUCAGCUCGUGUUGUGAAAUGUUGGGUUAAGUCCGCAACGAGCGCAACCCUUAUCCUUUGUUGCCAGCACGUAAUGGUGGGAACUCAAAGGAGACUGCCGGUGAUAAACCGGAGGAAGGUGGGGAUGACGUCAAGUCAUCAUGGCCCUUACGAGUAGGGCUACACACGUGCUACAAUGGCGCAUACAAAGAGAAGCGACCUCGCGAGAGCAAGCGGACCUCAUAAAGUGCGUCGUAGUCCGGAUUGGAGUCUGCAACUCGACCCCAUGAAGUCGGAAUCGCUAGUAAUCGUAAAUCAGAAUGUUACGGUGAAUACGUUCCCGGGCCUUGUACACACCGCCCGUCACACCAUGGGAGUGGGUUGCAAAAGAAGUAGAUAGCUUAACCUUCGGGAGGGCGUUUACCACUUUGUGAUUCAUGACUGGGGUGAAGUCGUAACAAGGUAAGCGUAGUGCU
rnacentral:rRNA from 1 species